UUAGAUAUAUUGUGAUGGGUUAAUUUGUAUUUAUUAACAAACUUUGCAUUUGCGUUGUGGUAAGUUAUCCAUAUAUAUAAUAUGAUAGGUUAGAAAAAUAGUUGGAGUAGAAAAAACGCCGCUCACAGCUGCGAUAUUGGAGUCAAACAAAUUAAAUUAAGAUGGUUAUACACCGUAUGUACAUCUUGUUUUGUCAGCAGUAUCUAAAGGUGAAUAAUUAAUAUUCGUUGCACAAACAAACAAACUAUACUUAGAUUCAGAUUUAACCAAACAUGCAAGACAAAUUGGAGCUAGGUAAGGUAAGAUAAGGGUAGGGAGAAAGAAGGAUGGAGAGGAAAAACCCAUACCAUCUUUGCACUUGUUGGGCUUGAGGUUAGGGUUGAGCUCAGAGUCUUUUUCUUGUCAACAACGAUGAUGAUGCAAACGUUGGUCUCGCCGUACUUCUCCUCGGUUUUCACCGACGAUGUCAAAGAGGUUAGAAUUCACAGAAGCGCCGGCUAGGGUCUAAAGUUUCGCUGCCGAGCAAUUAGUUCUAGAUAUGUUGUGUCGUGUUAAUUUAUACUUAUUAACGAACUUUGCAUAUACAUAUACAUAUACAUAUAUAUACAU
rnacentral:lncRNA from 1 species